ACGAACGCUGGCGGCGUGCUUAACACCUGCAAGUCGAACGGAAAGGCCCUGCUUGCAGGGUACUCGAGUGGCGAACGGGUGAGUAACACGUGGGUGAUCUGCCCUGCACUUCGGGAUAAGCUUGGGAAACUGGGUCUAAUACCGGAUAGGAGCCAUCUUUAGUGUGGUGGUUGGAAAGUUUUUUCGGUGUAGGAUGAGCUCGCGGCCUAUCAGCUUGUUGGUGGGGUAAUGGCCUACCAAGGCGGCGACGGGUAGCCGGCCUGAGAGGGUGUACGGCCACAUUGGGACUGAGAUACGGCCCAGACUCCUACGGGAGGCAGCAAUGGGUAAUAUUGCACAAUGGGCGCAAGCCUGAUGCAGCGACGCCGCGUGGGGGAUGAAGGCCUUCGGGUUGUAAACUCCUUUCGCUAGGGACGAAGCUUUUUUGUGACGGUACCUAGAUAAGAAGCACCGGCUAACUACGUG
rnacentral:rRNA from 1 species